UAUAUUUCCCAUGUCUAUAUCUUACAGUACUUGUAGAACUUUAAAGGUUAUUGAUUGCAUGUGGAUAUUGAUUAUUGCAUAGCACUUGUAACAUGCAUGUAUAAUAUGUCUGCUUUUGUGCACGUCAUGCGCAUGCAGGUCAUGCGGAGGCAUUGGACACCUGCAGCUGGAGUUACAGGCAAUUGUGAGCUGCCCAACAUGUAUGCUGAGAACUAAGUUCAUGUCCUUUGCAAAAGCAGUAAGUACUUGUAACAACAGAGCCAUCUCUCCAGCCCUGCAAGGGGCUUAUAGUGGAGUGAAAUAGCUGUGCAUCCAGAUCAAGACCUCACCAAUAUUAUCAGGUAAGACUGUGCAAACAGGAGAGAAACGCAGAGGCGUUUACUAAUAUCGGAAGAUCACAAACAGUAAGCAGAUGGGAGAGAGACCAGCCUGAGACAGCGACCAACACAAUGUGUGUGGCUGUGUGUGGUGAUGGUGACCACCCUGUUCUGCAGCAGAGUCACCCCAGGCUGCUCUGUGGCUUCUCUUUCCAUUUCCAAUUUUGAGCCUGCAGUGCUGGAGAUAUUUCAAGCAACCAAGUUACUCUCAAAGGGAAAAAACAGGCAAUGGAGAGACGGGCUGGGUCGGGAUGUUAAGAAACAGUCACCACAGCGGGCGAUGGCUUGACGUGAACUUUUCUAAGUCUGUCUCUCUUCUUGUCUUUGUUCACCUUUCUCUCUGUCUCUGAAGCUGAAGAAAGACUUCAAAUACUGGGCAAAGUCUGAGUGUCAUGGAACAAGAAGUCCCAGAGCUGUUGGAUCUUCAUUCCAUUGGCUCUGAAAUACAACAUGGAUCUGCAAGCCGGACCUGUAGGAGUCACAUGUUAGCCGAGUCAAAAUCGAAGAUGAGACUGGUUUGAACAUCUGAGAAAAUGCACUUAAGUCACAAUCAACUCGCUCAUGUGAGCACCAUACAGCUUUAUUGUGGAUUAAAAGCCCCAUAUUAUUGCAGCACCCU
rnacentral:lncRNA from 1 species